UACAGAGGUCUCAAGCGUUGUUCGGAUUCAUUGGGCGUAAAGGGCGCGUAGGCGGCGGGGUAAGUCGGGUGUGAAAUCUCAGGGCUCAACCCUGAAACUGCACUCGAUACUGCUCUGCUUGAGGACUGGAGAGGAGACUGGAAUUCACGGUGUAGCAGUGAAAUGCGUAGAUAUCGUGAGGAAGACCAGUGGCGAAGGCGGGUCUCUGGACAGUUCCUGACGCUGAGGCGCGAAGGCCAGGGGGAGCAAACGGG
rnacentral:rRNA from 1 species